CAAAGUUAAAUGUGGGUAAUGUUUUUUCACCUUCUGUCUGAAUGUCAUCUUUCUAUAAAAGAUGAAAACAGUGUGACAUGUUAGGAGUAUAUUACAAAGUUAAAUGUGUGAUCAAAAGACAACCCUGACAAAUUAUAUAUGUAAUUGUUUUUUGCAGAUGUCUGGAUGUUUAUUUGGCUAACAACAACAACCACACUUCAGGUGACCACACAUCAUUUCCCGGUCCAUUCCAGUGUUGUUGGUAACG